rnacentral:rRNA from 1 species
GUUGUUUAGUUGAAAAUCAAUUAAAUAGUUUUCGAUUUUAAGUAGUAUUGACCUUAUCAGCUUGCUGCUUUCUUUUCGGAAAUUAUUUAAUGCACUUUUCAGUUAACAAGUCAACAUCAAUUUCUUUUGUUGUAAAAAGGUAAGAGGAAGGUGGCUUGCGCUUCGGCUCAAGUGUUUAUAGCCUUUUACCCCUGCAAUCGGAGAGAUUGAGGUCUGCAGCGUAGAUCCUUCGGGGUUAGAUACAUUUGUGCUAAGCUAUAGCCUUGUAUAGACAACUUGUUGACUAUGCUCAGUCAUGUAGCUUACUCGCUUAUGUUAUUUUACCUAC